rnacentral:rRNA from 1 species
GGUUAAGCGACUAAGCGUACACGGUGGAUGCCCUGGCAGUCAGAGGCGAUGAAGGGCGUGCUAAUCUGCGAUAAGCGUCGGUAAGGUGAUAUGAACCGUUAUAACCGGCGAUACCCGAAUGGGGAAACCCAGUGUGA